rnacentral:misc_RNA from 1 species
CAAAGCGGGGGCUCAUGCAUCAUGGCGACUUUGUUAGACAUCAGACUUAUUAUGACUUGAAGGACAGCUUGGAAACUGGCCUUUCCGGUCUAAACUCGGUCUUCCUGAAACUUCUUGAACAGACGUCUGCCAAUGUUACAAGCAGACGAUCGUCGUCAACCGCCUCAGAGGGCGUGAAUGGUAUCGACGUCUCGUCAACUGGUUAAGAGGUUCUACAGCGUCACAGUAUUAUACAACAUAGACAAGAACAAAGACUUCACCCAACAUGAGAUGUACCACCCAGACGUUGGUGAAGCUGUUCCUGUGUGUGGUCAUCACCAUCUUCAUCUGUCGUUACUUUUACACCAAUACCUCCCACAGCAUACCCCUCAACGAUGUUCCCACUGUGGAGGUGUCUCCUCCAACCGUUAAGCCUUUACCUUACAAUAUCGCCAGGAUAGCCUUCAAGGAAUACCAUCCUUCAGGGGACCAACGCGGUGACAAAGUUAAACUCAUUUUUGCGUACGCCCCCGACCUCAGCUACGCACGCCGUGACCAACACAUUUAUCCCCUGAAUUGCGGUGAUGUUCGCUGCGCUUCCACCACGAGAGGAACAUAUCUCCGAGACAGUCAUGCUGUAAUGUUUUCUAGCACAUUUCUAGAGAGACACCCACUUCCCAAAAUUGAUAGACGUCUACAUGGAAAAGUGUUUCUAUUUUUUGAAAACCGGCCCCAUGUUCCCGAAAUUGCCAGAAAGCUUGAAUCAACUUUAAGUGACAAAUCAGUUUUUAAUUGGACGAUUGGUUACACAAGAGAUGCUGAUAUUCGAAUAUCUUAUGGAACCAUUGUCAAGAAAAAGGCGGUCCCUUUAUAUAACCUUACAACCGUUGUCUCGAGGAAGAAGAGAACAGUUGUCAUCUUUCAGCAGAGUUGCAAGACUCCGAGCCGCCUGGAAGAGUAUCUCCAACAACUUCGCAAAUAUGUAAAGGUCGAUGUAUACGGACCUUGUGUAAACCGGACCCUCUGUAAUCAGGACCUGGACUGUUUUAUCAAGGUCGGCCGAGAAUAUAAAUUCUAUCUAGCGUUUGAGGAGGUGUUCUGCUCUGAAUACAUAAGUAAUGUGUUCUUCCGGUUUUAUGGGACCGAAACUGUGCCUAUAGUACGAGGGGGUGGGGACUAUUCCAACGUUGUCCCCAAAGGAACAUAUAUUAACACAGCAGAUUAUAAAUCCAUCGCCGAGUUAGGAAGAUAUAUUCAAUACUUGGAUAAGAAUGACACAGCGUAUAUAGAAAUCUUGAAGAAGAAGCGAUAUUAUGAUGCAGUAUAUUCGCGGCAACAGAUUGUCCGAUGGGAAGACAAAAAGUUUAUACGACAUAUUUAUAUGAAUAUGGGCAAUAUGAUGUGUGACAUCUGUAAGCGACUGUGGAACGUGGACGACUACAGGAAAACCUACAGCGACAUCCUCUCCUGGUACGGAAGCUCCAAGUGCACAAAACCGCUGGAUCUUGAAUCUCGGAAACCGGUUUCUACACGUGCUUCUAACUCUACAGCCGUGAUAAAUUAACUCAGUAUUCAGUAACCAAAAUUCGGGAAACCGUUGGGUGAUAAAUGAAGAAAGGAAUUAAUCAUUAACUGGAUCAUCCAGUGGUUACAUCGUUUGCUCGUCACGCCGAAGACCCGGGUUCGAUUCCAUCCUGGGAUCCGUUACGCAGAGCAAGCGUAACGCUGAGGCUGUCGUAAACCCUUUACCAUUGGCAUGAACUUACGACUUUGGUAGAGGUACGAUACUUACACAUGGACUUACGAGAAGCGUAACUUUACGAACUCUUGUGUUCCUCAGAGCAAUCUUAAUGUUACGACUAACGCAGGUCAAUAUUAAAAGUAUCGGACCUACUUAGCAUUGCGACGAGGACCAAGAUAGGCAGUGACGCAUGAGUGAGUGAGUGAGUGAAUUUAGUUUUACGCUGUUUUUAACACUAUUCCAGCAAUAUCACGACAGGGGACGCCAGAAAUGGGCUUCACGCAUUGUGCCCAUGUGGGGAAUCGAACCCGUGUCUUCGGCGCGACGAGUGAAUACUUUACCCACUACGCUCCCCCUCCGCCCCAGUGACAACUGGCCAAAUCUAUGUCGACCGUACGACAACCAUUUGGAGAUCGGUGUGUUUGAGAAGUCUUGCAACAUUUAAUAUUCACAUUCAACUUGUUACAGUAAUAUAUGAAACACUGAUCUUGUUUUGAUGAAUCUGGGAUACAUCGUGUUGUACAUGUGUUUUGAUCUUGUACAUGUGUUUUGAUCUUGUACGUGUGUUUUGAUCUUGUACGUUAUGCAUGCGUUUUGAUCUUGUUAUGCAUGCGUUUUGAUCUUGUUAUGCAUGCGUUUUGAUCUUAUUGUGCAUGUCUUUUUGAUCUUGUACAUGUGUUUUGGUCUUAUUGUUCAUGUGUAAAAGGAGUUUUGUUUGGCUCUGCAGGU